UACAGAGGGUGCAAGCGUUAAUCGGAAUUACUGGGCGUAAAGCGUGCGUAGACGGUUAUGUAAGUCGGGUGUGAAAGCCCCGGGCUCAACCUGGGAAUUGCAUUCGAGACUGCAUAGCUAGGGUGCGGAAGAGGAUCGCGGAAUUCCCGGUGUAGAGGUGAAAUUCGUAGAUAUCGGGAGGAACACCAGUGGCGAAGGCGGCGAUCUGGGAAGAUACUGACGCUGAGGUGCGAAAGCGUGGGGAGCGAACAGG
rnacentral:rRNA from 1 species